rnacentral:rRNA from 1 species
AGUGAACGCUGGCGGUAGGCCUAACACAUGCAAGUCGAACGGCAGGACGGGAGAGCUUGCCCUCUGGGUGUAGAGUCGCGGACGGGUGAGGAACAUAUCUGAAUCACCUCAGUCGCGGGGGACAACUCAGGGAACCGUACGCUAAUACCGCAUACGACCUUCGCGUGAAAGUGCGGGAUCGCAAGACCUCUUUCGAGUGGAUGAGACCUUGUUCGAUUAGCUAGUUGGCGGGGUAAAGGCCCACCAAGGCGACGAUCCGUAGCCGGUCUGAGAGGAUGAUCAGCCACACUGGAACUGAGACACGGUCCAGACUCCUACGGGAGGCAGCAGUGGGGAAUCUUGGGCAAUGGGCGCAAGCCUGAUCCAGCCAUACCGCGUGGGUGAAGAAGGCCUUCGGGUUGUAAAGCCCUUUUGUUGGGAAAGAACUAUUGCAGGCUAAAAUCUGGAGAGGAUGACGGUACCCAAAGAAUAAGCACCGGCUAACUACGUG